rnacentral:lncRNA from 1 species
GACAUAUCUGUAAUUUUUCCUCCCAUACACAUAUUUUUAAUUUUUAAUAUGAUAAAAAAUAUUUAAAUAAGAUAUUAAAUGUUAAAUGAAGGACUUGUCUUUGCGGUUCCUAGCUACAUGCCCCAACUUACCUCCCUGGUUUUCUAUUUUUAGUUUUUGGUACAUACCCUAUCUCGGUUUGACAGUUUGAUGGGAUGGGAGAAA